rnacentral:rRNA from 1 species
GACGAACGCUGGCGGCGUGCUUAACACAUGCAAGUCGAACGGAAAGGCCCUGCUUUUGUGGGAUUCUCGAGUGGAGAGCGGGUGUGUAACACGUGAGUAACCUGCUCCUGACUUGGGGAUAACUUCUGGAAACUGGGGCAUAUAACGGAUAGGAGCUUCUGCGGCAUGGUGGUGGAUGGAAAGUUUCGGCGGGUGGGGGUGGACUCGCGGCUUAUCAGCUUGUUGGGGGGGUAGGGGCUUACCAAGGCUCUGACGGGGGGCCGGCCUGGGAGGGGGACCGGCCCCAUGGGGACUAAGUUAGGGCCCAGACUCCACCGGGGGGCAGCGGUGGGAAAUUUUGCACAAUGGGGGGAAGCCUGUGGAGGCAACGCCGCGUGCGGAAUGCCGGCCUUCGGGUGGUAAACCGCUUUCGCCUGUAACAAAGCGUGAGUGACGGUAAUGGGUAAAGAAGCACCGGCUAACUACGUG